rnacentral:rRNA from 1 species
ACGCACGCUGGCGGCAUGCCUAACCCCUGCCCGUCGAACGAGACCUUCGGGUCUAGUGGCGCACGGGUGCGUAACGCGUGGGAACCUGCCCUUAGGUUCGGAAUAACUCCCCGAAAGGGGUGCUAAUACCGGCUAAUGUCUUCGGACCAAAGAUUUAUCGCCUUUGGAUGGGCCCGCGUUGGAUUAGCUAGUUGGUAGGGUAAAAGCCUACCAAGGCGACGAUCCAUAGCUGGUCUGAGAGGAGGAUCAGCCACACUGGGACUGAGACACGGCCCAGACUCCUACGGGAGGCAGCAGUGGAGAAUAUUGGACAAUGAGCGAAGGCCUGGUCCAGCAAUGCCGCGUGAGUGAUGAAGGCCUUAGGGUUGUAAAGCUCUUUUACCCGGGAUGAUAGUGACAGUACCGGGAGAAUAAGCUCCGGCUAACUCCGUG